AUUGAACGCUGGCGGCAUGCUUUACACAUGCAAGUCGAACGGUAACAGGUUAAGCUGACGAGUGGCGAACGGGUGAGUAAUGCAUCGGAACGUGCCCAGUCGUGGGGGAUAACGCAGCGAAAGCUGUGCUAAUACCGCAUACGAUCUAUGGAUGAAAGCGGGGGGACCGUAAGGCCUCGCGCGAUUGGAGCGGCCGAUGUCAGAUUAGCUAGUUGGUGGGGUAAAGGCCCACCAAGGCGACGAUCUGUAGCUGGUCUGAGAGGACGACCAGCCACACUGGAACUGAGACACGGUCCAGACUCCUACGGGAGGCAGCAGUGGGGAAUUUUGGACAAUGGGCGCAAGCCUGAUCCAGCAAUGCCGCGUGCAGGAGAAGGCCUCGGUGUAA
rnacentral:rRNA from 1 species